rnacentral:lncRNA from 1 species
AUCAGGACGAAGUUACACGGCCACAACUUGCACAAAAUCCCAUAAGCUCGAGAAAAAAAUAGCUGUUAGAAACUUUUUUAAAAUAAAAUAGGAUGUUUUGCAGAACUAGCCAUUUGAACUAUCAAAGACUCAGGAGUUGACUCAUAAAAGUCUAAGAGUUGACUCAUGAACGUCCAAGAGUCGACUCACAUAGAGUAUU